UUGUUUGUAUUACUUUAGUUACUUAAUUUAUGUAAUUUUAGAUUUGUUAUUGUGAUCAAGCAUCUUCUGUUUUUGUCAUUUUUCUGUUUUUGUUAUUAUAUUGGAUAUGAUUUACUAAAGUUAUUUGAUUAAGAUUUGAAGUGGUUUAGUUAAAAUUAUUUUGUUGUUUGUUCAGGUAUGAUCAUGGGUCCAGCUGGGUCAACUGUAUGCUACAAUCUUAAGUUAACGCAUCUCGUACUUGAUAUGCCUGUUAUUGAUUACAACUUGGCACUUCCUUAUGCUCAGAAUUCAUAGAGUAUCUUUUAACGCAGUAUUUGCCGACUGGAUAUAGUUACUGUCCUUCUAAUUAUUCUUUUCAUAUAUAAAGUUUGCUUUGUACCAUCUUUUGUUGCUUUACAUUGGUUUGGUUGGAAGUAUUCCUCAAUUGAAUUUGUUGGUCUGUAGGUACAAUCCACCAAGUAUUUCUCAAGGGUGUAGAAGCAUGGAAUCAAUAUGGAAACGACAACGAUUCAGUUGAAUACAAGCCUCUACCAAGUGGCCCAACCAAUGGCACGGAAAAGCAGUCAAAUGAAUCUGGUGACGCAGAGAAUGUCCAAUAGGAGGAACUUGGACUUCUAUGAUUUGUAUGGGUUUCAAUCCUUGUUGUUCAAAUUAUUAAGGUCGCUAAUCACGAAGCUCAAUCUGAGAAAGGUGCUUCUUCGAUAUUAUCAACUUGAAAUGUGUGAACCAUUAUGAAGUGUUAGUUCAUUUUACCGCAGGUCUAUUAAGUGGGUGGGGUUAGUUUUGUUAGAGCAUAGCUCGGUUAAACCCACCAAGCAUUGGUUAGCUAGAAAGUUACCAGGAUAUGAGACUUACAAGUAUUACGUGAAGACUUGAAGAAUGU